rnacentral:lncRNA from 1 species
GUGCAAGCAUGGGCUAUUGGGUAUGACAACAAUCUAUUCGGAAAUCAGAGACCACCAUUCAUCAAUCCCUAUCUCUUGCAUUAGAGCAAUGUGCAGUUCCCUCGCAAGGUAGAGGCGAUCACCGAAGCUAUGAAAAGAUUAAAAAGAUUUGAAGUAUAUAUUUUGCAUCUAAUAUCAUAUAUAUUUCAAGUUAAUGCAUAACUAUUUCUUUUAUCCUUAUCAGCUGAUCAAGAAGAUAGAGUC